rnacentral:rRNA from 1 species
UACGGAGGGGGCUAGCGUUGUUCGGAAUUACUGGGCGUAAAGCGCACGUAGGCGGACUGUUAAGUCGGGGGUGAAAUCCUGGGGCUCAACCUCAGAAUUGCCUCCGAUACUGGCAGUCUCGAGUGCGGGAGAGGUGAGUGGAAUUCCCAGUGUAGAGGUGAAAUUCGUAGAUAUUGGGAAGAACACCAAUUGCGAAGGCAGCUCGCUGGGACGUUACUGACGCUGAGACGCGAAAGCGUGGGGAGCAAACAGG